rnacentral:rRNA from 1 species
UGAGGAAUAUUGGUCAAUGGACGAGAGUCUGAACCAGCCAAGUAGCGUGCAGGAUGACGGCCCUAUGGGUUGUAAACUGCUUUUGUAUGGGGAUAAAGUCAAUCACGUGUGAUUGUUUGCAGGUACCAUACGAAUAAGGACCGGCUAAUUCCGUGCCAGCAGCCGCGGUAAUACGGAAGGUCCGGGCGUUAUCCGGAUUUAUUGGGUUUAAAGGGAGCGUAGGCCGGAGAUUAAGUGUGUUGUGAAAUGUAGACGCUCAACGUCUGACUUGCAGCGCAUACUGGUUUCCUUGAGUACGCACAACGUUGGCGGAAUUCGUCGUGUAGCGGUGAAAUGCUUAGAUAUGACGAAGAACUCCGAUUGCGAAGGCAGCUGACGGGAGCGCAACUGACGCUUAAGCUCGAAGGUGCGGGUAUCGAACAGGAUUAGAUACCCUGGUAGUCCGCACAGUAAACGAUGGAUGCCCGCUGUUGGUACCUGGUAUCAGCGGCUAAGCGAAAGCAUUAAGCAUCCCACCUGGGGAGUACGCCGGCNACGGU